CAAAGUAGAUGUCCUAACCGACUUGCCAAAACUAUAGUUAACAAUACAUUUGUGAAGUGGUUAAAAAAUGAGUUUUAAAUGACUCCAAUCUAAGUGUAUGUAAACUUCUGACUUCAACUGUACAUAUAGAUACAUCUAUCUAUCUGAAUAAAAAGGCUCCGCUUAUUUUUUAUUUUUUUCAUUAACCUGUGUUUAAAGUGCUAGUCGUUGCAGAUUAGGCACAUAAGAGAUAUGGCACCCUAUGUCCCCAUAUACUGCACUACUUUUGACCAGAGCCCUGUGUGCCCCGGACAAAAGUCGUACACUCUUUAGGGUGCCAUUUGCAACGUAAAGAACAAUGGUUAACAUCAACCCGUGAACACUAAAGUCUUGUGUCUGUUUCUGCACAUAUGAUGGUCUCUGCACAGUGUGGUUGAGAGACAUUAAGGUACUACUGGUGGAGGCUUUCUGAAAUACUAUCACUUUUUUGAAAUGUUGGAUAUGUUAUCAAUAUCUACUGUAGGGUUGAAUGGUGAUGAAAUUGUUUGUAAAAGUAGGUAUAUUGUAUCAGUUUUUUUGCAGAGUUUUUUUUUGUGUGUGUGUGUGUGUGUGGGGGGGGGGGGGGGGGGGGGUGUCGUUGUCUAGCUCUACAGUCCUCUAAUUUCAAAGAGAAAUCUAUUAUAAUGGAGGUUUGUCUGUUUGAUAAUGGUCCAUAAACAUUUUUUUUGCAGUUUGACUUACAUGUGAAGUAUUAGUCUCUCAAUGAAAUGAAUAAAUAUGUUUUUUUUUAA